UUAAGUGAAUAAGGGCGCACGGUGGAUGCCUUGGCACUAGGAGCCGAUGAAGGACGGGACUAACACCGAUAUGCUUUGGGGAGCUGUACGUAAGCUAUGAUCCAGAGAUUUCCGAAUGGGGGAACCCAACAUCUUUAAUAGGAUGUUACGAUUGUGUGAAUACAUAGCACAUUCGAGGUAGACGCAGAGAACUGAAACAUCUAAGUACCUGCAGGAAGAGAAAGAAAAUUCGAUUCCCUGAGUAGCGGCGAGCGAAACGGGAAAAGCCCAAACCAGCAAGCUUGCUUGUUGGGGUUGUAGGACUCCAAUAUGGUAGUUCUUUCAGAUAGUCGAAUGACUUGGAAAAGUCAGUCAAAGAGGGUAAAAACCCCGUAGACGAAAUGUGGAAGACACCUAGGAGGAUCCUGAGUACGGCGGAACACGAGAAAUUCCGUCGGAAUCCGGGAGGACCAUCUCCCAAGGCUAAAUACUCCCUAGUGACCGAUAGUGAACCAGUACCGUGAGGGAAAGGUGAAAAGCACCCCGGAAGGGGAGUGAAAUAGAACCUGAAACCGUGUGCCUACAACAAGUCAAAGCCCGUUAAUGGGUGAUGGCGUGCCUUUUGUAGAAUGAACCGGCGAGUUACGAUUGCAUGCGAGGUUAAGUUGAAGAGACGGAGCCGCAGCGAAAGCGAGUCUGAAUAGGGCGUUUGAGUAUGUAGUCGUAGACCCGAAACCAUGUGAUCUACCCAUGUCCAGGUUGAAGGUGCGGUAAAACGCACUGGAGGACCGAACCCACGUACGUUGAAAAGUGCGGGGAUGAGGUGUGGGUAGCGGAGAAAUUCCAAACGAACUUGGAGAUAGCUGGUUCUCUCCGAAAUAGCUUUAGGGCUAGCCUCGUAAUUGAGAAUGAUGGAGGUAGAGCACUGUUUGGACUAGGGGCCCAUCUCGGGUUACCGAAUUCAGAUAAACUCCGAAUGCCAUUCAUUCAUAUCCGGGAGUCAGACUGUGAGUGAUAAGAUCCAUAGUCGAAAGGGAAACAGCCCAGACCACCAGCUAAGGUCCCAAAAUAUAUGUUAAGUGGAAAAGGAUGUGGGGUUGCACAGACAACUAGGAUGUUGGCUUAGAAGCAGCCAUCAUUUAAAGAGUGCGUAAUAGCUCACUAGUCGAGUGACCCUGCGCCGAAAAUGUACCGGGGCUAAACAUAUUACCGAAGCUGUGGAGUACACCUUUAGGUGUAUUGGUAGGAGAGCGUUCUAAGGGCGUCGAAGGCAGAUCGUGAGGACUGCUGGAGCGCUUAGAAGUGAGAAUGCCGGUAUGAGUAGCGAAAGACAGGUGAGAAUCCUGUCCACCGAAUGACUAAGGUUUCCUGGGGAAGGCUCGUCCGCCCAGGGUUAGUCGGGACCUAAGCCGAGGCCGACAGGCGUAGGCGAUGGAUAACAGGUUGAUAUUCCUGUACCCGUUGUUUUUGUUUGAGCAAUGGAGGGACGCAGGAGGCUAAGGAAUGCAGACGAUCGGAAAUGUCUGUCCAAGCAGUAAGUCUGAAGAGGAGUCAAAUGCUUCUUUUCUUAAGGACAAGCUGUGAUGGGGAGGGAAAUAAUAGUACCGAAGUUCCUGAUGUCACACUGCCGAGAAAAGCUUCUAGUGAGAAAACAGCGGCCCGUACCGCAAACCGACACAGGUAGUCGAGGAGAGAAUCCUAAGGUGAGCGAGAGAACUCUCGUUAAGGAACUCGGCAAAAUGACCCCGUAACUUCGGGAGAAGGGGUGCUGAUCAUACGAUCAGCCGCAGUGAAUAGGCCCAAGCGACUGUUUAUCAAAAACACAGGUCUCUGCAAAAUCGUAAGAUGAAGUAUAGGGGCUGACGCCUGCCCGGUGCUGGAAGGUUAAGAGGAGUGCUUAGCGCAAGCGAAGGUACGAAUUGAAGCCCCAGUAAACGGCGGCCGUAACUAUAACGGUCCUAAGGUAGCGAAAUUCCUUGUCGGGUAAGUUCCGACCCGCACGAAAGGCGUAACGAUUUGGGCACUGUCUCAACGAGAGACUCGGUGAAAUUUUAGUACCUGUGAAGAUGCAGGUUACCCGCGACAGGACGGAAAGACCCCAUGGAGCUUUACUGUAGUUUGAUAUUGAGUGUCUGUACCGCAUGUACAGGAUAGGUAGGAGCCGUAGAAAUCGGAACGCUAGUUUCGAUGGAGGCGCUGGUGGGAUACUACCCCUGCGUUAUGGCCACUCUAACCCGCACCACUAAUCGUGGUGGGAGACAGUGUCAGAUGGGCAGUUUGACUGGGGCGGUCGCCUCCUAAAAGGUAACGGAGGCGCCCAAAGGUUCCCUCAGAAUGGUUGGAAAUCAUUCGAAGAGUGUAAAGGCAGAAGGGAGCUUGACUGCGAGACCAACAAGUCGAGCAGGGACGAAAGUCGGGCUUAGUGAUCCGGUGGUUCCGCAUGGAAGGGCCAUCGCUCAACGGAUAAAAGCUACCCUGGGGAUAACAGGCUUAUCUCCCCCAAGAGUCCACAUCGACGGGGAGGUUUGGCACCUCGAUGUCGGCUCGUCGCAUCCUGGGGCUGUAGUCGGUCCCAAGGGUUGGGCUGUUCGCCCAUUAAAGCGGCACGCGAGCUGGGUUCAGAACGUCGUGAGACAGUUCGGUCCCUAUCCGUCGCGGGCGUUGGAAAUUUGAGAGGAGCUGUCCUUAGUACGAGAGGACCGGGAUGGACUUACCGCUGGUGUACCAGUUGUUCUGCCAAGGGCAUUGCUGGGUAGCUAUGUAGGGAAGGGAUAAACGCUGAAAGCAUCUAAGUGUGAAGCCCACCUCAAGAUGAGAUUUCCCAUUUCUUUAAGAAAGUAAGAUCCCUGAGAGAUGAUCAGGUAGAUAGGUCAGGAGUGGAAGUACAGUGAUGUAUGGAGCGGACUGAUACUAAUCGAUCGAGGACUUAACCAA
rnacentral:rRNA from 1 species